GUUUCAAACAGAUCAAAUGCACUCUUCUUUAACUUUGAUUAUUAGUGAGCAAAUCGACAAAUCUUUGUGUCCCAUUCACUUACUAAAGAAUUUUUUACAAAUUCGAUAUCCUUCGUCCGGGAGUAAUUUAUACAUACAUUUUGACGGAUCAAGUCUCACUCGUUAUCAAUUUUCGUCUAUUUUACAAAAGAGUUAGUCAUUCUCCGAAAUCAAUGGACAUUUCAGAGCACAUUCUUUCAGAAU
rnacentral:lncRNA from 1 species